rnacentral:sRNA from 1 species
AUCGCUUCUCGGCCUUUUGGCUAAGAUCAAGUGUGAAAAAUCAGGCUUUGGACAUAGAAUACUUGUAUCUGAGAUUUGAAUCCAACACUUAUCACCAAAAUGAGUAUUAAGUUUUCAAAAAAUCUCUGCCCGUUUUUCCAUGUGUAAAAUAGGCAAGUAACAGUAUCUGGACUUUAUUCUCCCUUCCUGUUUAACUGGAAAUUUG